CACAUGCAAGUCGAACGCUGUAGCAAUACAGAGUGGCAGACGGGUGAGUAACACGUGGGAACAUGCCCUUCGGUUCGGAAUAACUCAGGGAAACUUGAGCUAAUACCGGAUACGUCCGCGAGGAGAAAGAUUCAUCGCCGAAGGAUUGGCCCGCGUCUGAUUAGCUUGUUGGUGAGGUAAUGGCUCACCAAGGCGACGAUCAGUAGCUGGUCUGAGAGGAUGAUCAGCCACAUUGGGACUGAGACACGGCCCAAACUCCUACGGGAGGCAGCAGUGGGGAAUAUUGGACAAUGGGCGAAAGCCUGAUCCAGCCAUGCCGCGUGAGUGAUGAAGGCCUUAGGGUUGUAAAGCUCUUUUGCCCGGGAAGAUAAUGACGGUACCGGGAGAAUAAGCCCCGGCUAACUUCGUGCCAGCAGCCGCGGUAAUACGAAGGGGGCUAGCGUUGUUCGGAUUUACUGGGCGUAAAGCGCACGUAGGCGGAUUCUUAAGUCAGAGGUGAAAUCCCAGGGCUCAACCCUGGAACUGCCUUUGAUACUGGGGAUCUCGAGUUCGAGAGAGGUGAGUGGAACUGCGAGUGUAGAGGUGAAAUUCGUAGAUAUUCGCAAGAACACCAGUGGCGAAGGCGGCUCACUGGCUCGAUACUGACGCUGAGGUGCGAAAGCGUGGGGAGCAAACAGGAUUAGAUACCCUGGUAGUCCACGCCGUAAACGAUGGAUGCUAGCCGUUAGGCAGCUUGCUGCUUAGUGGCGCAGUUAACGCUUUAAGCAUCCCGCCUGGGGAGUACGGUCGCAAGAUUAAAACUCAAAGGAAUUGACGG
rnacentral:rRNA from 1 species